rnacentral:rRNA from 1 species
UACGUAGGGUGCGAGCGUUGUCCGGAAUUAUUGGGCGUAAAGAGCUCGUAGGCGGUGUGUCACGUCGUUCGUGAAAACCUGCAGCUUAACUGUGGGCGUGCGGUCGAUACGGGCAUCACUGGAGUUCGGCAGGGGAGACUGGAAUUCCUGGUGUAGCGGCGAAAUGCGCAGAUAUCAGGAGGAACACCGGUGGCGAAGGCGGGUCUCUGGGCCGAUACUGACGCUGGAGGAGCGAAAGCGUGGGGAGCAAACAGG